GGAUCCCAUCAGAACACCACAGUUAAGCGUGCUUGGGCGAGAGUAUUACUAGGAUGGGUGACCUCCUGGGAAGUCCUC
rnacentral:rRNA from 1 species